rnacentral:rRNA from 1 species
AACAAGCCACGGCUAACUACGUGCCAGCAGCCGCGGUAAUACGUAGGUGGCGAGCGUUAUCCGGAUUUACUGGGUGUAAAGGGCGUGUAGGCGGUUUAGUAAGUCGGAUGUGAAAUUCCCAAGCUUAACUUGGGCGCUGCAUCCGAAACUGCAGAACUUGAGUACUGGAGAGGAUAGUGGAAUUCCUAGUGUAGCGGUAAAAUGCGUAGAUAUUAGGAGGAACAUCAGUGGCGAAGGCGACUAUCUGGACAGUAACUGACGCUGAGGCGCGAAAGCGUGGGGAGCAAACAGGAUUAGAUACCCUGGUAGUCCACGCCGUAAACGAUGGAUACUAGGUGUAGGGGGUAUCGACCCCCCCUGUGCCGGAGUUAACACA